GGAUGUGAUGGGGAGCGAAAUUUAGUAGCGAAGUAGCUGAUUUCACACUGUCAAGAAAAGUCUCUAUCGAGGUUAAAGGUACCCGUACCGCAAACCGACACAGGUGGGUGAGGAGAGUAUCCUAAGGCCAGCGAGAGAACUGUUGUUAAGGAACUCGGCAAAAUGACCCCGUAACUUAGGGAUAAGGGGUGCCACCAUCAGGUGGCCGCAGAGAAUAGGCCCAAGCGACUGUUUACCAAAAACAUAGGUUUCUGCUAAGUCGCAAGACGAUGUAUAGGAGCUGACGCCUGCCCGGUGCUGGAAGGUUAAGGGGAUCUGUUAGAGCAAUCGAAGCAGUGAACUUAAGCCCCAGUAAACGGCGGCCGUAACUAUAACGGUCCUAAGGUAGCGAAAUUCCUUGUCGGGUAAGUUCCGACCCGCACGAAAGGCGUAACGAUUUGGGCACUGUCUCAACAACAGACUCGGUGAAAUUGUAAUUCCGGUGAAGAUGCCGGAUACCUGCGACAGGACGGAAAGACCCCAUGGAGCUUUACUGUAGCUUGACAUUGGGUCUUGGUACUACAUGUACAGGAUAGGUGGGAGGCUUUGAAACCAGGACGCCAGUUUUGGCGGAGCCAUCCUUGGGAUACCACCCUUGUAGUACUGGGACUCUAACCAUAGGCCAUGAAUCUGGUCUUGGGACACUGUCAGGUGGGCAGUUUGACUGGGGCGGUCGCCUCCCAAAAGGUAACGGAGGCGCUCAAAGGUUCUCUCAGUACGGUCGGAAAUCGUACGUAGAGUGUAAAGGCAAAAGAGAGCUUGAUUGCAAGACAUACAGGUCGAGCAAGGAUGAAAAUCGGACUUAGUGAUCCGGUGGUUCUGCGUGGAAGGGCCAUCGCUCAACGGAUAAAAGCUACCCUGGGGAUAACAGGCUUAUCUCCCCCAAGAGUCCACAUCGACGGGGAGGUUUGGCACCUCGAUGUCGGCUCAUCACAUCCUGGGGCUGUAGUAGGUCCCAAGGGUUGGGCUGUUCGCCCAUUAAAGUGGUACGCGAGCUGGGUUCAGAACGUCGUGAGACAGUUCGGUCCCUAUCCGUCGCAGGCGUAGGAAAUUUGAGAAGACCUGUCCUUAGUACGAGAGGACCGGGAUGGACGUACCUCUGGUGUACCAGUUGUCCUGCCAAGGGCAUGGCUGGGUAGCUAUGUACGGAAUGGAUAAGCGCUGAAAGCAUCUAAGCGCGAAGCCAACUUCAAGAUAAGAUUUCCCACCGCAAGGGUAAGACCCCAGAAAGACUAUCUGGUUGAUAGGUCGAAGGUGUAAGUGCAGCAAUGUAUUUAGCUUAUCGAUACUAAUAGGUCGAGGACUUGACCAA
rnacentral:rRNA from 1 species